GGAGUCCGAACUCUCACUUUUCUAACCCUGUGCACUUGUUUGGGAUAGUAACUCUCGCAAGAGAGCGAACUCCUAUUCACUUAUAAACACAAAGUCUAUGAAUGUAUUAAAUUUUAUAACAAAAUAAAACUUUCAACAACGGAUCUCUUGGCUCUCGCAUCGAUGAAGAACGCAGCGAAAUGCGAUAAGUAAUGUGAAUUGCAGAAUUCAGUGAAUCAUCGAAUCUUUGAACGCACCUUGCGCUCCAUGGUAUUCCGUGGAGCAUGCCUGUUUGAGUGUCAUGAAUACUUCAACCCUCCUCUUUCUUAAUGAUUGAAGAGGUGUUUGGUUUCUGAGCGCUGCUGGCCUUUACGGUCUAGCUCGUUCGUAAUGCAUUAGCAUCCGCAAUCGAACUUCGGAUUGACUUGGCGUAAUAGACUAUUCGCUGAGGAAUUCUAGUCUUCGGAUUAGAGCCGGGUUGGGUUAAAGGAAGCUUCUAAUCAGAAUGUCUACAUUUUAAGAUUAGAUCUCAAAUCAGGUAGGACUACCCGCUGAACUUAAGCAUAUCU
rnacentral:rRNA from 1 species